rnacentral:rRNA from 1 species
AUUGAACGCUGGCGGCAGGCUUAACACAUGCAAGUCGAGCGGGGUGAUGGUGCUUGCACUAUCACUUAGCGGCGGACGGGCGAGUAAUGCUUAGGAAUCUGCCUAUUAGUGGGGGACAACAUCUCGAAAGGGAUGCUAAUACCGCAUACGUCCUACGGGAGAAAGCAGGGGAUCACUUGUGACCUUGCGCUAAUAGAUGAGCCUAAGUCGGAUUAGCUAGUUGGUGGGGUAAAGGCCUACCAAGGCGACGAUCUGUAGCGGGUCUGAGAGGAUGAUCCGCCACACUGGGACUGAGACACGGCCCAGACUCCUCCGGGAGGCAGCAGUGGGGAAUAUUGGACAAUGGGGGGAACCCUGAUCCAGCCAUGCCGCGUGUGUGAAGAAGGCCUUAUGGUUGUAAAGCACUUUAAGCGAGGAGGAGGCUCUUUUGGUUAAUACCCAAGAUGAGUGGACGUUACUCGCAGAAUAAGCACCGGCUAACUCUGUGCCAGCAGCCGCAGUAA